rnacentral:rRNA from 1 species
AUUGAACGCUGGCGGCAGGCUUAACACACGCAAGUCGAGCGGAGCAAGGGUGCUUGCACCUUAGCUUAGCGGCGGACGGGUGAGUAAUGCUUAGGAAUCUGCCUAUUAGUGGGGGACAACAUUCCGAAAGGAAUGCUAAUACCGCAUACGCCCUACGGGGGAAAGCAGGGGAUCUUCGGACCUUGCGCCAAUAGAUGAGCCUAAGUCGGAUUAGCUAGUUGGUGGGGUAAAGACCUACCAAGGCGACGAUCUGUAGCGGGUCUGAGAGGAUGAUCCGCCACACUGGGACUGAGACACGGACCAGACUCCUACGGGAGGCAGCAGUGGGGAAUAUUGGACAAUGGGCGGAAGCCUGAUCCAGCCAUGCCGCGUGUGUGAAGAAGGCCUUUUGGUUGUAAAGCACUUUAAGCGAGGAGGAGGCUACUUAGAUUAAUACUCUGGGAUAGUGGACGUUACUCGCAGAAUAAGCACCGGCUAACUCUGUGCCAGCAGCCGCCGUAAUAC